ACUCACUCAUUUGUUGUCCCCCUCUCAGACAAAGGCAUUACAAAAAAAUAAAUAAAUAUUCCUCACUUCUUUCUCUCGGACUGAAAAAAAGAAAAAAAAGAGAAAACAACUUUUCCUCUUCCCUCACCCACCUAACGUCUCUCUUCCCUCACCUACAACAACUACCUCACACUUCCCACACACUCUCCACAAAUCUCACAAAUCACUCUCAGAUUUUCCUCUCAC
rnacentral:lncRNA from 1 species